GCCUACGGCCAUACCACCCUGAAAGCGCCCGAUCUCGGAAGCUAAGAAGGGACGGGCCUGGUUAGUACCUGGAUGGGAGACCGCCUGGGAAUACCAGGUGUUGUAGGCU
rnacentral:rRNA from 1 species